rnacentral:tRNA from 1 species
AUUUAAGUAGUUUAAUUUAAAACAUUGAUUUGUGGAGUCAAUAAUAUAAAAAUUUAUCUUAGAUA